rnacentral:rRNA from 1 species
CCUACGGGAGGCAGCAGUGGGGAAUAUUGCACAAUGGGCGCAAGCCUGAUGCAGCGACGCCGCGUGAGGGAUGACGGCCUUCGGGUUGUAAACCUCUUUCAGUAGGGAAGAAGCGAAAGUGACGGUACCUGCAGAAGAAGCGCCGGCUAACUACGUGCCAGCAGCCGCGGUAAUACGUAGGGCGCAAGCGUUAUCCGGAAUUAUUGGGCGUAAAGAGCUCGUAGGCGGUUUGUCGCGUCUGCCGUGAAAGUCCGGGGCUCAACUCCGGAUCUGCGGUGGGUACGGGCAGACUAGAGUGAUGUAGGGGAGACUGGAAUUCCGUGGUGUAGCGGUGAAAUGCGCAGAUAUCAGGAGGAACACCGAUGGCGAAGGCAGGUCUCUGGGCAUUAACUGACGCUGAGGAGCGAAAGCAUGGGGAGCGAACAGGAUUAGAUACCCUGGUAGUCCAUGCCGUAAACGUUGGGCACUAGGUGUGGGGGACAUUCCACGUUUUCCGCGCCGUAGCUAACGCAUUAAGUGCCCCGCCUGGGGAGGUACGGCCGCGAGACGUAAACUAAUAGAGUAGACGCGUGAGAGNGCGACGACGACGACGAGGGAGAGG